AUGCUGAACAAGUCUUGUUUGGAGAUCAACCCCAACAACUUCAUCGACAUGCAGCGCAAGUGGAAAGUUCCAACCACCAACAAAUACUGCGACUCCUUGGCCGAUGUUGCAGGCAGCAUCAUCCACCCAUUCUAUAAAGGCAUGAAGAAGAAGAUGGAGAAGAAGGAAGACCACAAACUAUGGGGGAACAACCCAUUGCCAGACAACCUCAUCGAGUACGCAGGAAUAGAUGCAUACGCCACGUGCAAGUCAUGGAAGACAAUCGACAACAUCGUGACAGGUUGGGAUAUUUCAAAAGAGCAGGAGGCUGACCCCUACUACCACUGCAACUUCGCGGGAUGA
rnacentral:rRNA from 1 species